rnacentral:rRNA from 1 species
GAUGAACGCUAGCGGGAGGCCUAACACAUGCAAGCCGAGCGGUAGAGUCUCUUCGGAGACUUGAGAGCGGCGCACGGGUGCGGAACACGUGUGCAACCUGCCUUUAUCUGGGGGAUAGCCUUUCGAAAGGAAGAUUAAUACCCCAUAAUAUACUGGAUGGCAUCAUCUGGUAUUGAAAACUCCGGUGGAUAGAGAUGGGCACGCGCAAGAUUAGAUAGUUGGUGAGGUAACGGCUCACCAAGUCAGCGAUCUUUAGGGGGCCUGAGAGGGUGAUCCCCCACACUGGUACUGAGACACGGACCAGACUCCUACGGGAGGCAGCAGUGAGGAAUAUGGGACAAGGGGUGAGAGCCUGAUCCAGCCAUCCCGCGUGAAGGACGACGGCCCUAUGGGUUGUAAACUUCUUUUGUAUAGGGAUAAACCUAGAUACGUGUAUCUAGCUGAAGGUACUAUACGAAUAAGCACCGGCUAACUCCGUG